AUUGAACGCUGGCGGCAUGCCUUACACAUGCAAGUCGAACGGCAGCACGGACUUCGGUCUGGUGGCGUGUGGCGAACGGGUGAGUAAUACAUCGGAACGUGCCCAGUAAUGGGGGAUAACGCAGCGAAAGUUGUGCUAAUACCGCAUACGCCCUGAGGGGGAAAGUGGGGGAUCGCAAGACCUCAUGUUAUUGGAGCGGCCGAUGGCUGAUUAGCUAGUUGGUGAGGUAAAGGCUCACCAAGGCGACGAUCAGUAGCUGGUCUGAGAGGACGACCAGCGACACUGGGACGGAGACACGGCCCAGACUCCUACGGGAGGCAGCAGUGGGGAAUUUUGGACAAUGGGCGAAAGCCUGAUCCAGCAAUGCCGCGUGUGCGAAGAAGGCCUUCGGGUUGUAAAGCACUUUUGUCAGGGAAGAAAACUGUUUGGCUAAUACCCGGAUAGGAUGACGGUACCUGAAGAAUAAGCACCAGCUAACUACGUGCCAGCCGCCGCUAACA
rnacentral:rRNA from 1 species